AUUGAACGCUGGCGGCAGGCCUAACACAUGCAAGUCGAGCGAGCGGCGGACGGGUGAGUAAUGUCUGGGAAACUGCCUGAUGGAGGGGGAUAACUACUGGAAACGGUAGCUAAUACCGCAUACCAUCAGAUGUGCCCAGAUGGGAUUAGCUGGUAGGUGGGGUAACGGCUCACCUAGGCGACGAUCCCUAGCUGGUCUGCGAGGAUGACCAGCCAAACUGGAACUGCGAAACGGGCCAGACUCCUACGGGAUGCAGCAGUGGGGAAUAUUGCACAAUGGGCGCAAGCCUGAUGCAGCCAUGCCGCGGGUGUGAAGAAGGCCUUAUGGUUGUAAAGCACUUUAAGCGAGGAGGCGUUACUCGCAGAAUAAGCACCGGCUAACUCUGUGCCAGCAGCCGCGGUAAUAC
rnacentral:rRNA from 1 species